UACGUAGGGUGCGAGCGUUGUCCGGAAUUAUUGGGCGUAAAGAGCUCGUAGGCGGUGUGUCGCGUCGGUCGUGAAAACUUGGGGCUUAACUCUGAGCUUGCGGUCGAUACGGGCAUCACUGGAGUUCGGCAGGGGAGACUGGAAUUCCUGGUGUAGCGGUGAAAUGCGCAGAUAUCAGGAGGAACACCGGUGGCGAAGGCGGUGUCCUGGGCCGAUCCUGACGCUGAGGAGCGAAAGCUGGGGGAGCAAACAGG
rnacentral:rRNA from 1 species